GAAAUGCGAUAAGUAAUGUGAAUUGCAGAAUUCAGUGAAUCAUCGAAUCUUUGAACGCAGCUUGCGCUCCUUGGUAUUCCUUGGAGCAUGCCUGUUUGAGUAUCAUGAAAUCUUCAAAGUAAAUCUUUUGUUAACUCAAUUGGUUUCUACUUUGGUAUUGAAGGUCUUUGCAGCUUCACACCUGCUCCUCUUUGUUCAUUAGCUGGAUCUCAGUGUUAUGCUUGGUUCCACUCGGCGUGAUAAGUUAUCUAUCGCUGAGGACACUGUAAAAGGUGGCCAAGGUAAAUGCAGAUGAACCGCUUCUAAUAGUCCAUUGACUUGGACAAUACUUUUAUGAUCUGAUCUCAAAUCAGGUAGGACUACCCGCUGAACUUAAGC
rnacentral:misc_RNA from 1 species